rnacentral:rRNA from 1 species
GGGGAAUAUUGGGCAAUGGGGGAAACCCUGACCCAGCAACGCCGCGUGAAGGAAGAAGGCCUUCGGGUUGUAAACUUCUUUUACCAGGGACGAAGGACGUGACGGUACCUGGAGAAAAAGCAACGGCUAACUCCGUGCCAGCAGCCGCGGUAAUACGGAGGAUGCGAGCGUUAUCCGGAUUUAUUGGGUUUAAAGGGUGCGUAGGCGGCGUUCCAAGUCAGCGGUAAAAUUGCGGGGCUCAACCCCGCCGAGCCGUUGAAACUGGCGCGCUUGAGUGGGCGAGAAGUAUGCGGAAUGCGUGGUGUAGCGGUGAAAUGCAUAGAUAUCACGCAGAACCCCGAUUGCGAAGGCAGCAUACCGGCGCCCGACUGACGCUGAAGCACGAAAGCGUGGGUAUCGAACAGG